ACAGAGGAAACACCAACCGAGCCCCCCCUGGAGCCCCCCCAUUCCCUGACCCCCGAGGAGGAGGAGGAGGAGGAGGAGGAGGAAGAGCAAUGGGAGGAUGUCAGCGAAGAGGAUGAGGAUGAAGAUGGCAGCGAGGAGGAGGAGGAAGAGGAGGAGGAGGAGGAGGACGACGGCAGCACAGGGUCACUGAACAAGGAGGAAGCACCCCCCAGGCUGAGCCCCCUGGAGUCCCCCCAGAGGGAUGAAGUGAGGCUCGACGCGGAGCAGGAGGCGGAGGAUGAGAUAAGAGAAGCCCUGGAUCCGGCGCCCGGCACCGUGGAGAUCACGGACUUCCACCGGGACCACCAGGCUCUCCGCCGGCCCCGAGCGGCCGCUCCGGCCCCGGGCUCGCUCCCGCCGUGAUCCCGGCAGCACCUGGACACUGGGAGCCUCAGGAAGCACCGGGAAGGAGGGAGGGAGGGAGGGAAGACCCCCCCCCCGCUCCCCCCCACAUCCCUCGGGAAGCUGCGGUGCCGGCGCUGGAGCCGGGAUGCGCCGUCGGUCAUUGAAGGUUCCAAAGGGGCUCUGGGGGCUCCGGCUGUGCUGGACCCGCCGGGGGGGCGACACGGACACCCCCGAUCCUGGCCCGUGCCCCGGAGCCAGGUGCGGGGGGGGGGGGACACCCCAGUUCUUUGUUAAUAAACGUCUACAACAGC
rnacentral:lncRNA from 1 species